rnacentral:rRNA from 1 species
UAAACUACGAUUAGAUACCCUAUUAUUUUAAAUGUAAAGAUUGUAUAAGGCCCGGGUAGUAAUAGUUAUGUUCUUGAAACUCAGAGAAUUUGGCGGUGUUUUAGUCCCUUCAGAGGAACCUGUCCCAUAAUCGAUAUUCCACGUUAAAUUUUACUUGAUUUUGUAAUCAGUUUGUAUACCGCCGUCGUCAGAAUGUCCUUUCAGGGAAAGAAUUUUCUUGAGUUAUUGAUUAGAAAAGAUGUCAGGUCAAGGUGCAGUUAAUGGUCAAGAGGAGGUGGGUUACAAUAAGUGGAUUUAUGACGGAUAAUAGUUUGAAAAUUUAAAGUUGUUUAAAGGUGGAUUUGAUUGUAAUUAUAUAUAGCUAUUAAGUUAUUUUGAUUCUUGGCUCUAAAGCAUGCACACAUCGCCCGUCGCUCUUA